rnacentral:rRNA from 1 species
UACGUAGGGGGCGAGCGUUGUCCGGAUUUAUUGGGCGUAAAGAGCUCGUAGGCGGCUUGUCGCGUCGACUGUGAAAACCCGUGGCUCAACCAUGUGGUCUGCAGUCGAUACGGGCAGGCUAGAAUUCGGUAGGGGAGACUGGAAUUCCUGGUGUAGCGGUGAAAUGCGCAGAUAUCAGGAGGAACACCGGUGGCGAAGGCGGGUCUCUGGGACGGUACUGACGCUGAGACGCGAAAGCGUGGGGAGCGAACAGG